UCCGGUUUGUCACCGGCAGUCUCUCCAGAGUGCCCUUGCGUAGCAACUGGAGACAAGGGUUGCGCUCGUUGCGGGACUUAACCCAACAUCUCACGACACGAGCUGACGACAGCCAUGCAGCACCUGUGUUACGGCUCCCUUUCGGGCACACUCACCUCUCGAUGAGCUUCCGUACAUGUCAAGGGUAGGUAAGGUUCUUCGCGUUGCAUCGAAUUAAUCCACAUCAUCCACCGCUUGUGCGGGUCCCCGUCAAUUCCUUUGAGUUUUAAUCUUGCGACCGUACUCCCCAGGCGGACAACUUCACGCGUUAGCUGCGGUACUAGAGAAUCGCUUCCCCAACACCUAGUUGUCAUCGUUUAGGGCGUGGACUAC
rnacentral:misc_RNA from 1 species